rnacentral:misc_RNA from 1 species
AAACUCAAAACCCUAGUAAAAAAUUUCAAAAGCCCACCAGGCACCAGUGACUGACCAGCCUGUGCAUCGGUGUACGGUGUCUGUGGGCACCAAAACUCUAUCAAAAAAACACUCUUGUUUUAUGUGCAAUGGCUUUUACCCUGAAAUCAACACCAACUAGCUUCGUCCACCUCAAGAAGCCGGAGACCCAUCUCUUUCUUCGAUUCGCCUCCUGCAAAUCUACUGUUGUUUCAACCAGAAGAUUCGCUCCAAUGGCUGCGCUGACGAUAGCCCCUACACUUGGUCUAUCUGACACGUUCUCCAAUCUGAGAAAACAAGGCAAAGUCGCAUUCAUUCCAUAUAUCACAGCUGGUGACCCUGACCUUCAAGGCUUCUGCUGUGGUUGAAAG